rnacentral:rRNA from 1 species
UACGGAGGGUGCGAGCGUUGUCCGGAAUCACUGGGCGUAAAGGGCGCGUAGGCGGCUCGGUCAGUCAUCGGUGAAAGUUCAGGGCUCAACUCUGAAUCGGCCGGUGAUACUCCCGUGCUCGAGCACUGUAGAGGCAGGUGGAAUUCCGGGUGUAGCGGUGGAAUGCGUAGAGAUCCGGAAGAACACCGGUGGCGAAGGCGGCCUGCUGGGCAGUAGCUGACGCUGAUGCACGAAAGCUAGGGGAGCAAACAGG